AUGCUGUGUGCCCACUUCUCACACACGAGCAGCACACACACAGACAGUUGAAUGGUCCUUGUGCUGAAACAGCUUGGUGAAGAAGAAAUUAUAGUGAAUUUCUGAUUGCUUACCAUGAAUUCUUCUUUUAGUUCUCCUACUUCUUCGGCUUUCUUCAGGGGACAUUUAAUAAUGAAGAAUCGCACCAUAUCCAACUGGCUACGGAAGAGAGGGAAGCAAGUUUAAAAGUCAACAGGGGCCGGAAUGAGGUGGCUUACACCUGUAAUCCCAGC